rnacentral:rRNA from 1 species
CCUACGGGUGGCUGCAGUGGGGGAUAUUGCACAAUGGGGGAAACCCUGAUGCAGCGACGCCGCGUGUGGGAAGACGGUCCUCUGGAUUGUAAACCACUGUCCCCAGGGACGAAGAUGACGGUACCUGGGGCGGAAGCUCCGGCUAACUACGUGCCAGCAGCCGCGGUAAUACGUAGGGAGGGAGCGUUGUCCGGAAUUACGGGGUGAAAGGGGAUCGUAGGGGGGGAUGGAAUUUGGGUUUCAAACCUACCGGCUAAACUGGUAGUCGCACCCAAGACUGCAGCCCUUGAGUGAAGUAGAGGCAGGCAGAAUUCCUAGUGUAGCGGUGAAAUGCGUAGAGAUUAGGAGGAAUACCAGUGGCGAAGGCGGCCUGCUGGGCAUUUACUGACGCUGAGGCUCGAAAGUGUGGGGAGCAAACAGGAUUAGAUACCCUUGUAGUC